rnacentral:rRNA from 1 species
GUCUACGGCCAUACCACCCUGAACGCGCCCGAUCUCGUCUGAUCUCAGAAGCUAAGCAGGGUUGGGCCUGGUUAGUACUUGGAUGGGAGGAGAGAACUUGAAUUUAGUAAAAA